GACGAACCGUGCGAACGUUAUUCGGAAUCACUGGGCUUAAAGCGCGUGUAGGCGGUCCGGCACGUUCGACGCUGAAAUCCCCCGGCUCAACCGGGGAACGGGCGCGGAUACGACCGGGCUGGAGGGAGGUAGGGGGAGCUGGAACUUCCGGUGGAGCGGUGAAAUGCGUUGAGAUCGGAAGGAACGCCCGUGGCGAAAGCGGGCUCCUGGACCUUGCCUGACGCUGAGACGCGAAAGCCAGGGGA
rnacentral:rRNA from 1 species